rnacentral:rRNA from 1 species
ACCCGCUGAAUUUAAGCAUAUAAGUAAGAGGAGGAAAAGAAACAAACAUGUAUUUCCAUAGUAAUGGCGAAUGAACGGGAAUAAAUUCAGAAUGAUAAUCUUUGCUUUUGGCUUCGAUUUGUAAUUUCAAAAUGCAUUACCAAUGGAGGCGCAGGUGUAAGAUUUGUGGAAAUAACACCAUCGAGGGCAAGAGCCCCGUUCAUCAUCUGCAGUCCUCUAUGUACGGUGUGCAUUUACAGAGUCACGUUCCUCGGGAUUGGAACGCAAAGUGAGUGGUACAUUUCAUAACAAAUUAAAUAUAAUUUCGAGACCGAUAGCACACAAGUACCAUGAGGGAAAAUGAAAAGGACUUUGAAAAGAGAGUUAAAAGUACCUGAAAUCGUUGAAGGGGAAGCGAAUGGGAUCAGUUAAACUUGGCGAGAUUGUUGCACUAGUCUCCCACAGCUGCGCAUUCAAAGCGAUAGUGCUGCUUGCGAUGAAACUAGUGUAGCGGUGCUCAACAUGUUUGUCAGCACUAAUCUGGCGAUGUGCAAAACCUUCAGUAUAAGGUAAGCAGCCUGCUGGAUGCUGAAUGUACUGAUAGGUGCUCAUUUCCAGUUUAUUACAUCAAUGCUUUGUUGUGAUUGUGUUGCUUUGUUUAGCUUUUGCUUUUAAUCGGGCUCUAGCUGUCUGAUGCAAUGCGGUUUCAAAAGCUUGUCUGCUGACGAAAUGGUCUCAUUUGACCCGUCUUGAAACACGGACCAAGG